GAUGAAGAACGCAGCGAAAUGCGCUAAGUAGUGUGAAUUGCAGAAUUCAGUGAAUCAUCGAAUCUUUGAACGCACAUUGCGCCCCUUGGUAUCCCGAGGGGCAUGCCUGUUCGAGCGUCAUUUCACCACUCAAGCCUGGCUUGGUGUUGGGCGACGUCCUCUUUGGGGACGCGCCUCGAAACGCUCGGCGGCGUGGCACCGGCUUUAAGCGUAGCAGAAUCUUUCGCUUUGGAAGUCGGGGCCCCGUCUGCCGGAAGACCUGCUCGCAAGGUUGACCUCGGAUCAGGCAGGGAUACCCGCUGAACUUAAGCAUAUCAAUAAGCGGAGGA
rnacentral:misc_RNA from 1 species